rnacentral:rRNA from 1 species
GCUACACAUGCAGUCGAGCGGAACGAUGGUAGCUUGCUACCAGGCGUCGAGCGGCGGACGGGUGAGUAAUACUUAGGAAUCUACCUAGUAGUGGGGGAUAGCACGGGGAAACUCGUAUUAAUACCGCAUACGACCUACGGGAGAAAGGGGGCAGUUUACUGCUCUCGCUAUUAGAUGAGCCUAAGUCGGAUUAGCUAGAUGGUGGGGUAAAGGCCUACCAUGGCGACGAUCUGUAGCUGGUCUGAGAGGAUGAUCAGCCACACCGGGACUGAGACACGGCCCGGACUCCUACGGGAGGCAGCAGUGGGGAAUAUUGGACAAUGGGGGAAACCCUGAUCCAGCCAUGCCGCGUGUGUGAAGAAGGCCUUUUGGUUGUAAAGCACUUUAAGCAGUGAAGAAGACUCUUCGGUUAAUACCCGGAGACGAUGACAUUAGCUGCAGAAUAAGCACCGGCUAACUCUGUGCCAGCAGCCGCGGUAAUACAGAGGGUGCAAGCGUUAAUCGGAAUUACU